rnacentral:rRNA from 1 species
GUAGGUGGCAAGCGUUGUCCGGAAUUAUUGGGCGUAAAGCGCGCGCAGGCGGUUCUUUAAGUCUGAUGUGAAAGCCCACGGCUCAACCGUGGAGGGUCAUUGGAAACUGGAGAACUUGAGUACAGAAGAGGAAAGCGGAAUUCCACGUGUAGCGGUGAAAUGCGUAGAGAUGUGGAGGAACACCAGUGGCGAAGGCGGCUUUCUGGUCUGUAACUGACGCUGAGGCGCGAAAGCGUGGGGAGCAAACAGGGAUUAGAUACCCUGGUAGUCCACGCCGUAAACGAUGAGUGCUAAGUGUUAGGGGGGUUUCCGCCCCCCUUAGUGCUGCAGCUAACGCAUUAAGCACUCCCGCCUGGGAGUACGGCCGCAAGGCUG